rnacentral:misc_RNA from 1 species
GAAAUGCGAUAAGUAAUGUGAAUUGCAGAAUUCAGUGAAUCAUCGAAUCUUUGAACGCACAUUGCGCCCGCCAGUAUUCUGGCGGGCAUGCCUGUUCGAGCGUCAUUUCAACCCUCAAGUCCCCUGUGGACUCGGUGUUGGGGACUUCUUCUUCCGCAGCGAGUCGCCGCCCCCUAAAUGACUUGGCGGCCUCGUCGCGGCCCUCCUCUGCGUAGUAUAGCACACCUCGCAACAGGAGCCCGGCGAAUGGCCACUGCCGUAAAACCCCCCAACUUUUUCAGAGUUGACCUCGAAUCAGGUAGGAAUACCCGCUGAACUUAA